rnacentral:rRNA from 1 species
AUGUUGCCUCCCCUGCCCCCACCUGUGGUCGUUGCCGACGAGAACGAAGAAGAGGUUUUCUCUGGUCAGUACAAGGCAAAUAAGGUCCUAAGUGACGACGUCGACAGCGACCAAGAAACCCAGAGGAUCUACAGGAGGCAGAAGGCGAGGGAGCUGAACAGUGGUGUGCUCGAGAAACGUAUCAGGCCAAGAAUCGGAAGGGGGGCUACGGAUGCCCUUACUGCAACAAGCUGA